rnacentral:sRNA from 1 species
AUUUGAAAAAUUUCAGAAAAUGAUUUCACAAAAAAAAGAGUGUUCAUGUAGUUGCAUUACAUUUAGGAUCGAGUCUAGAGUGUUUCAUUCAGGAUUGUUGCAUAUGCAUAGGGGAUGAUGAUGAGAUAGCCUUGUAAGCAUUUUGAUUCACCGGAUAAACUCAGUGCCCUCGUUGCUAGUUGUUUGUUGCGUAGUCAAUGAAUUUGAAAUAAAACUGAACCAUGCCUAGAUUGCUCUACUCGACCACACUGUCAUGAUCUGAUACCAUUCCCUAUCAAUUUGAACCUGAAUCUGAUCUUUAAUUAUCAUGUCUGCAUCAAAUUUGAACUCAUGGAUACCCUAAAAUACUUGGAUUUUCUUAUUCAUUUUGAUCACUCUUGUUAAUCCAAGUAGCUGACUCUCCUAAUUAGAGCAGUUAACCCAAACUCAAACCUAGACUUUCUUUCAAGCCCUAUAUCACUUGUGAGUGUUUGUGAGGUCUUAUUCCGAUUAAGCUUGGUAGAAAGUGUUAGGUUCGUUACGAUAGAGAUAGUGUCUCAUGUAGUUCUAGUUCGCAUUUUUCGGACUAGAUAGGACUAGGUGGGCGCUUAUACUUUGGGUUGGGAUGUGUUUAAAAGAAAAAA